UAACGGCCGCCAGUGUGCUGGAAUUCGCCCUUGAGUUUGAUCCUGGCUCAGGAUGAACGCUGGCGGCAGGCUUAAUACAUGCAAGUCGAACGGUAACAGUACUAGCAAUAGUAGCUGACGAGUGGCGCACGGGUGCGUAACGCGUAUGCAACCUACCCAUAAUUGGAACAUAACGUUGAGAAAUUAGCGCUAAUAUUCCAUGUGAAUAUGAAGAGACAUCUUUUUAUAUUUAAAGAUUUAUUGAUUAUGGAUGGGCAUGCGUAUCAUUAGCUAGUUGGUGAGGUAACGGCUCACCAAGGCGACGAUGAUUAGGGGUUCUGAGAGGAUUUCCCCCCACACUGGAACUGAGACACGGUCCAGACUCCUACGGGAGGCAGCAGUAGGGAAUAUUGGGCAAUGGAAGCAAUUCUGACCCAGCCAUGCCGCGUGAAGGAAUACAGCCCUAUGGGUUUUAAACUUCUUUUAUUAUAGAGUAAACGGAGGUACGUGUACCUCCCUGCAAGUAUA
rnacentral:rRNA from 1 species